UACCUACAGAUUCACCAACUUUCAACUCAACCAAUCAGCCACCUCAAGUCCAACCACCACAAGCACCGCCAUAGCUUAACACAGUGCAGUUCCUCUCCUCUCCUCCUCUUUCUCUCCCUCUCUCUAGCUUAAUAGAAUGGGCAAUGGCUGGCCCGAAUCAAUUGAGCCUGAAGCUUCAUCAAGAAGAACCCAGGUGGAAAAUGAAACCAUUUCUAAUCCCAAAAAAUCCA
rnacentral:lncRNA from 1 species